CACGAUCCUUCUCAGCUACCUUGGCAGCAUUCUGUCAGAAACCAGUCAACAAACAGAGCAGGGAAAAACAGCACCCCGAAGACAGCAUUCAGGACCCAGCCCUUUAGACAAAAGGGAUCAGAUCAGGUCUACUAGAUGGCCUCAUUCAGUCAGACACACCCAGUUAAGCAGCCCUGGAAAGGGACUCUAGAGAAUGCUAGAAGUACUGUGAAGCUCGCAGAUGGCCUUGUGGACUUUAGCACUUCAGGUGAGACACAGCAAGAAGGCAGCAGUCUGCACACCAGGAGGAGAGUCCUCACCACAACUCAGCCCUGCCACACCCUGAUCCUGGACUUUCAGCCUCCAGAGCUGUGAGAAAUAAAUGCCUGCUGUUUCAGCAGCUCA
rnacentral:lncRNA from 1 species